GCUCGGGUGACGCAGUGGUUAGCGUGUUGCUCUUAUACUUGUGUUUUAGGAUACUUGUUAUGCAAAGGUCGCGGGUUCAAGUCCCGCCUCGAGCA
rfam:Neurospora crassa OR74A linkage group VI, whole genome shotgun sequence.